GUCUGAUUAAAAACGUGUCUGGGGACCUUGUCGUCAUCUCCUCCUCCUCCUCCUCAUCCAGCCUGUUCACUCAUCACCUGUUUCCUCAGGAACAAAGUGAGCUCAGACCGAAGGGGGAUGUUGGGAGGAGGCCUCAGACAAAUGUGAGGAGCACGGGUGACAGAGGCCGUCAUGAAGACGUCAUGUUUCUCCUCAGGUGAGGAAGACGAGGUUUUAGUAAUCGCUUAAAAAAAUCUCAAAAAUAAACCAAAAAUAAACAACAUCGAUUUCUUUUACUUUUCACACUGUGCAGUGAUUGACAAUUUGGGAGGAAAAUAAUCAUCUUUAACCCGGGAUUUCCACCGCAUCUGGAACGCCAAUUCCUACGGGAUCCGUUUGUGAGGCGAAUUUUGUGGCGUAUUACG